AAGGAAGAGGACGUGGUGGAGAAAGAGGACGUGGUGAAGGAGGUGGAGAACGACGGCGACAAGGAAGGGGAAGAGCAAGGGCAAGAAGACAGUCAGUCUCGGAUGAAAUUCGAGCCACUUUAGUUCACCAUGUCCUUGUCCAUGGGAUGACUAUGAGGGAGGCUGGGCAACGAGUACAACCAAAUUUGAGUCGCUUCACUGUUGCCUCCAUCAUCAGAACCUUCAGGGAGGAAAACAGGACACAGAGACGACCACCUGGUGGAGGCAGGUUAAGGCUUUUGUCGGAGGAGCAAGAGAGGGAACUUGUAAACAUGAGAAUCUUUGAGAUUGAAGGACG
ensembl:lncRNA